rnacentral:rRNA from 1 species
GAGUUUGAUUCUGGCUCAGAACGAACGCUGGCGGCGCGUCUUAAGCAUGCAAGUCGAACGGUAAGGGAGAGCUUGCUCUCCCCUAGAGUGGCGGACUGGUGAGUAACGCGUGGGUGACCUGCCCUGAAGAUGGGGAUAGCUAGUAGAAAUAUUAGAUAAUACCGAAUGUGCUCAUUUACAUAAAGGUAAAUGAGGAAAGGAGCUACGGCUCCGCUUCAGGAUGGGCCCGCGUCCCAUUAGCUGGUUGGUGAGGUAAAGGCCCACCAAGGCAACGAUGGGUAUCCGGCCUGAGAGGGUGAACGGACACAUUGGGACUGAGAUACGGCCCAAACUCCUACGGGAGGCAGCAGCUAAGAAUCUUCCGCAAUGGACGAAAGUCUGACGGAGCGACGCCGUGUGAAUGAAGAAGGCUGAAAGGUUGUAAAAUUCUUUUGCAGAUGAAGAAUAAACACAGGAGGGAAUGCCUGUGAGAUGA